AGAGUUUGAUCCUGGCUCAGGACGAACGCUGGCGGCAGGCUUAACACAUGCAAGUCGAACGCCCUCUUCGGAGGGAGUGGCAGACGGGUGAGUAACGCGUGGGAACGUGCCCUUCGGUACGGAACAACAGUUAGAAAUGACUGCUAAUACCGUAUACGACCUUUGGGUGAAAGAUUUAUCGCCGAAGGAUCGGCCCGCGUUAGAUUAGCUUGAUGGUGGGGUAAAGGCCUACCAUGGCGACGAUCUAUAGCUGUUCUGAGAGGAAGAUCAGCCACACUGGGACUGAGACACGGCCCAGACUCCUACGGGAGGCAGCAGUGGGGAAUAUUGGACAAUGGGCGCAAGCCUGAUCCAGCCAUGCCGCGUGGAUGAAGAAGGCCCUAGGGUUGUAAAGUCCUUUCAAUGGUGAAGAUAAUGACGGUAGCCAUACAAGAAGCCCCGGCUAAUUUCGUGCCAGCAGCCGCGGUAAU
rnacentral:rRNA from 1 species